rnacentral:lncRNA from 10 species
AUCUCCCUUCACUGACUCUCUUUUCGGACUCAGUCCGCCUACACCCAGGUGAAAUAAACAGCCAUGUUGCUCACACAAAGCCUGUUUGGUGGUCUCUUCACACGGAUGCACAUGAAAUUUGGUGCCGUGACUUGGAUCGGGGGACCUCCCUUGGGAGAUCAAUCCCCCAUCCUCCUGCUCUUUGCUCCAUGAGAAAGAUCCACCUAUGACCUCAGGUCCUCAGACCGACCAGCCCAAGGAACAUCUCACCAAUUUCAAAUCCGGUAAGUGGCCUCUUUUUACUCUCUUCUCCAACUUCCCUCACUAUCCCUCAACCUCUUUCUCCUUUCAAUCUUGGCGCUACACUUCAAUCUCUCCCUUCUCUUAAUUUCAAUUCCUUUCAUUUUCUGGUAGAGACAAAAGAGACAAGUUUUAUCCGUGGACCCAAAACUCCAGAGCCGGUCACGGACUGAGAAGGCAGGCUUCCCUUGGUUUUUAAUCAUUGCAGGGACACCUCUCUGAUUAUUCACCCACAUUUCAAAGGUGUCAGACCACACAGGGAUGCCUGCCUUGGUCCUUCACCCUUAGCAGCAAGUCCCGCUUUUCUGGGGGAGGGAUAAGUACCCCAACCCCUUCUCUCCGUGUCUCUACCCCUUCUCUGCUUUUCUGGGGGAGGGGCAAGUACCCCUCAACCCCUUCUCCUUCACCCUUAGCGGCAAGUCCUACUUUUCUGGGGAAGGGGCAAGUAACCCAACCCUUUCUCUCCAUGUCUCUACCCCUUCUCUGCUUUUCUGAGGGAGAGGCAAGUACCCCUCAACCCCUUCUCCUUCACCCUUAGCGGCAAGUCCUGCUUUUCUGGGGGAGGGGCAAGUACCCCAACCCUUUCUCUCUGUGUCUCUACCCCUUCUCUGAUUUUCUGGGGCAAGGGCAAGAACCCCUCAACCCUUUCUCCUACCCCUCAGCGGCAAGUCCCACUUUUCUAGGGGAGAGGACCCCACUGGAAAUCAGACUGUUCGACUCACCUGGCAGCCACUCCCAGAGCCCCUGGAACUCUGGCCCAAGGCUCUCUGACUGACUCCUCGGCUUAGCAGCUGAAGACUGAUGCUGCCUGAUCACCUCAAAAGCCCUGUAGACCACCACAGACGCCGAGCUUCGAGUAACUCUCACAGUGGAAGUGCUGUGCUGCCUUCUGAAUUCUCCUACAAAAAGCAGUGGCCAGGUCGUAUGGUCCUUACAUUCCAGGAAAUUGUAAAGCUCUUCAAACUCUUCAAAUUAUAAAACUCUUCUCUUGAAGACAACCCCUUUUCUUGGCAAAGAGGACCUAACUGAAUGUGUUGAGAUACCCAUGAAUCUGCUCCUCUGAUCACAGUUCUGAUGACAUGCAAAAACUACCUUUCUUCAGUCCAUGUGACCCAGCUGAUAUUGACUGGUUCUGAAUAAAGGCCCUGAAGGGCAAGGUCGUGCAGGCUCCUUGGGAGAGAACAGAACUGCAGAUAGAGAGCAGAGGGGACAGAGGCCAGCAGAGACCUGUGUCGGACAGAAGAGGGCACCAGCAAACUGACCUACUCACCCCAGCUGCUGACCCCCACUUCGACCUGGGAUCAAACCAGCAGCUGAGCACAAUAGAUAGGCUGGGUUCUUUUUGGAAAACAAAAUUUUCCUGGAACAUGAGUAUGUCUAAACUAACUAAUCAAAAUGAAAGAAAUAUAUGUCUUAGUAUACCUUUUCAUGAUUUGAUAAUUGGCCGUUUUCAAGAACAUAAUGAAAACUCAGCUGUCCCACUAAAAUAAUUAUCACCAAGGAGGGGCAGUUACCGAAAGAUAAACAAUUCCUUUGAAAACUAAAUAAAUUAUCUAUCAAACUGUUACUCUAUCUAUAACUUUAAAAGAAAAAAGUCAUCUGGGCAGAAUUAUUGGCUUCACAUCUUCAAAUGUGUUCUACUUUGUUUAACAAAUUGAAGUUUCAAUGAGUUCUUUUGGUUUGCCAGGAUUGAAGCAGAUUUAAAGUAGGUUUGUUGUCAAAUCAGCGUAUGGGUCUCUAUCUCACACCUAGGCUUCCAUUAUCACACAAUGAUGAGCACUCUCUUCCCACCACCUCCAUAUAAACGCUUAAACACAUCCCUUCCCUGCAUACUUCCCACUGCCCACACCCGUGUAGUAAUUUAUAUGCCACUUUCCCCAGAACUCCCUCCAUUCUAGUAGGAAGCAUUUAGACUUACAAAGUGAUUGAGGUGGAGGAAGUUCUUCCAAAGUGCAAUUCAUGUGUCUUUAAAAAAAAAAAAAUUAAACACUAUAAAGUAGGAGAAGCAAAACAGAAUUUGCGGUUAGUUCCUGUAAUAUGUUAAACAUCUGCAGUUUUGUCUCUUCAUCGGGAUGCGGGGUUGUGCUGUAGUCACAUCCUGAUAACAUCUGCACAUUACUGAUAGCUUUUGCUUUAUUCUUUAUGGUCUGCUGAUGAGAGAUUCUUUAACAUUCCUUCAGUCAUCAAGACCCCAGUUGGAUUUCUUUGCUUGUGACAGCCUUAAAGGUGGUUUCAUUUACAUUUGCUAAAAUGUCACAAUAUAGGAAGAUAUUUUCAGUUUGAUGUUUCAUCCCUUCCUUUUUUUAUCCGGAUGCUAGUUUUAGCUUUUCAAAUGAAUGUCGAACUCAAAAUAGAUUUUCCAUGAAAUAUAUUUUGUCUGAUUUUUGGAACACCAUGUCUGCAGCAGAAGACUUUUUUUUUUUUUCCAAAAAAGUUUUCAAUAAGGAAUGGCACCUCUCUACUCCUGCUUGCAUUGCAACAACAGCUACCAUGCCAUGAAAGGGCUAGCUUGUUUAACAUCCAGUAACACAGAAUGUACGACUAGUUUAAAGGUCAGGUACUGACAGGAUGGGAGCUGUUUUUGCUUCCCUAAUGACCCCAAUUACAUCAGAGCUGAGCAAAUAGUCAAUAAACAGUGGCACUAACAUAUGUAGAAAAAUUGUUUAUUUCACAUUUCCAAGACAAUUAGCAAUCCCGUCUCUGGUUCCAGAAAGACUUUGAGAUCCUAGAGGUUUUAAAUAAAUGAGACCAUGAAAAGUAAUAUAGAAUAUUCAUGUAAAUAAUCUUGGGCUAUAUGAAAGCAUUAUUUAUAUUGCUGAAUACAUUUUUCUUGAUGUAGCAAGCGAGUGGUCAAUGGCAAUACAUAAGACAACUGUAAAGAGCUCUAUAAACAAUAAAUUUUAAAAAGAUUAAUUGGUUUUGAGAGUUAAUUUUCUUGAACAAUUUAGUGGAGAUUUUUCGUUACCCACUUGGGAUUCAUAGAGUUGAAUAAGA